rnacentral:ncRNA from 1 species
GAAAAAACGAUGACGGGGACAGUACGUGUACAAGAUCAGUCCAUAAGCGAGCCGGGGAUGGUGAAAGCCUGGCGGCUGACGGUAAUACGGAAAAUCACCCUUGAGUGCUUUUUGUGAACAAAGUAGUAGCGAAAAGCGUUUCAUCCACGUUACGGAUGAUGAGCGGGCAGCUUUGUGCUGUCAAUCAGGGUGGUACCGCGGAAACCUUUCCGUCCCUUUA